GAGCGAACAGGAUUAGAUACCCUGGUAGUCCAUGCCGUAAACGUUGGGCACUAGGUGUGGGACUCAUUCCACGAGUUCCGUGCCGCAGCUAACGCAUUAAGUGCCCCGCCUGGGGAGUACGGCCGCAAGGCUAAAACUCAAAGGAAUUGACGGGGGCCCGCACAAGCGGCGGAGCAUGCGGAUUAAUUCGAUGCAACGCGAAGAACCUUACCAAGGCUUGACAUGCACCGGACGCUGCCAGAGAUGGUGGUUCCGCAAGGUCGGUGCACAGGUGGUGCAUGGUUGUCGUCAGCUCGUGUCGUGAGAUGUUGGGUUAAGUCCCGCAACGAGCGCAACCCUUGUCCUAUGUUGCCAGCGGGUUAUGCCGGGGACUCAUGGGAGACUGCCGGGGUCAACUCGGAGGAAGGCGGGGAUGACGUCAAAUCAUCAUGCCCCUUAUGUCUUGGGCUUCACGCAUGCUACAAUGGCCGGUACAGAGGGCUGCGAUACCGUAAGGUGGAGCGAAUCCCAAAAAGCCGGUCUCAGUUCGGAUUGGGGUCUGCAACUCGACCCCAUGAAGUCGGAGUCGCUAGUAAUCGCAGAUCAGCAACGCUGCGGUGAAUACGUUCCCGGGCCUUGUACACACCGCCCGUCAAGUCACGAAAGUUGGUAACACCCGAAGCUCACGG
rnacentral:rRNA from 1 species